CUACGGGGUGCACCAGUCGAGAAUCUUCCGCAAUGGACGAAAGUCUGACGGAGCGACGCCGCGUGCGGGAUGAAGGCCUUCGGGUUGUAAACCGCUGUCAGUGGGGAGGAAAUGCAUCAGGGUUCUCCCUGGUGUUUGACCGAUCCGCAGAGGAAGCGCAGGCUAAGUUCGUGCCAGCAGCCGCGGUAACACGAACUGCGCGAACGUUAUUCGGAAUCACUGGGCUUAAAGAGUUCGUAGGCGGCCUUUCAAGUCGGGUGUGAAAUCCCUCGGCUCAACCGAGGAAUUGCGCCUGAUACUGUUGGGCUUGAGGGGGAUAGGGGCGGGCGGAACUGAUGGUGGAGCGGUGAAAUGCGUUGAUAUCAUCAGGAACACCGGUGGCGAAGGCGGCUCACUGGAUCUCUUCUGACGCUGAGGAACGAAAGCUAGGGGAGCGAACGGGAUUAGAUACCCUAGUAGUC
rnacentral:rRNA from 1 species